GACGAACGCUGGCGGCGUGCCUAAUACAUGCAAGUCGAGCGGACGAAUCGAAAGCUUGCUUUUGAUUCGUUAGCGGCGGACGGGUGAGUAACACGUGGGCAACCUACCCUUUAGACUGGGAUAACACCGAGAAACCGGUGCUAAUACCGGAUAACACGAAGUAUCGCAUGACGUUUCGUUGAAAGACGGCUCAGGCUGCCCCUACAGAAUGAUCCCGCGGCGCAGUAGCUAGUUGUUGGGGUAACGCCUCACCAAGGCGACGAUACGUAGCCGACCUGAGAGGGUGAUCGGCCACACUGGGACUGAGACACGGCCCAGACUCCUACGGGAGGCAGCAGUUGGGAAUCUUGCGCAAUGGACGAAAGUCUGACGGAGCAACGACGCGUGAGCGAAGAAGGCCUUCGGGUCGUAAAGCUCUGUUGUUAGGGAAGAAAAAGUAACGCAGUAAAUGGUGUUACCGUGAAGGUAACUAAAGAGAAAGCCAAGGCUAACUACGUG
rnacentral:rRNA from 1 species